CAGUCAGUUGGCCAAGAAACUGGUAGCGUCGGUGUUGCGAGCCAACAAAAGGCUGGCAGCUGGCAGCUGGGCAGCUGGCACAGUCACCGGCUCUGCCAGUGCCACGAAUGUUGUGUGUGUUGUCUGUUGGCCAUAGGGCACGGGGCAGUGCUUUGGAUUGGCUUUGGCUUUGACUUUUGAGCGACGCGUAGCCAGCCAAGAAAAGUGGCCAGCCAACCAGUCAGUCAGCCAGCCAGCCACCGAGCCACCGAGCCAGCGAAUCAGCCAGCCAACAACAGCAAUUACUGGCCAAGAGGUGGUGAUGGUAAAGGUCCAAGAUGAUGAUGAGUACGCGCCAACAGACGUUGCCAAAGCAGUGCAGGAUGACAGUGAAGGAAUAUAUUUUUUGGCCGCAAACGCAGUUUGAUUAGCCAACUCAAACAGUGGUUUGACCCUGGCCAAGAUCGCCGCAAUGGACGCCAAUUGACAGGCACACACUCGUACACACACACACACACACUCCACGUACACACACACGGAUUGGCACAGUGGUGCAGUGGAGCAGCAGCAACAAGAGCAGCAGCAGCUUCGCAGGAUGCGUUCGUCUCGAUUAUACAGCUUAAAAAAAAAAAAAACAAUAACAACAACAAAAACAAAAAACGUGUCGCGCCGCAGCAACAACAACCAAACGCGCUGUGCUUAUACGUGUGUUUGUGUGCGUGCGUAUGUGUGUGUGUGUGUGUGUGUGAGAACCUUUUGAGCUGACCAACGUGCGCCGUCAACUUUGUGGCCAGUGCCAAAAACCGAGGUGCGCCAAUGGAGCAACUGGCGUGAAGCCCAGAAAAAAGAAGUGCAGAGCCAGCAGCAACAGCAGCAACAGCAGCAACAGCAGCAACAGCAGCAGCAGCAGCAGCAACAAUUGCUGCUACAACAACAGCAAGCUUUGUUUUAGCUGGCCGCUAAUGAUUUGCGAUGUCAGCGAUGUCCGCAAUGAAAUUUGGCGCAAACCAAACGCGUGCGAAACCUCAAAGGAUGCGCAUCACGCGCAGAGGUAGCUACGAAUAUCAAGCAUACGCCGCGUGUAACUCAAAAACUUCAAAUACUACAAAUAUUCAAUAUUCAACUCUUACGUAGUGACUAGUGCUUCAACUUAUUAACUAUAUUUCAAAUAUUAAACACUAAAAUUAAAAUAAAAUAAUCAAUAUCAAAAAUAUAUAGUAGCCAACGUAGUGUCAAGUACUUCUAUGCCAAUUAUAUAAUCAAUUACAAGCGACUAUGAUAUAAUCCAACACAAUUACAUAAACAUUAGUGCAAUAUCUAUACAUAAAUAAUUAAUCGUUAUGUAUAUAUUUAUACAUACAAUUAWUAUUGGUACUAAUUGGUAACUGACAGCACUCGUAGACAAUUUAUAUAUAAAUCAAUGAAAUUAUCUGCGUGGCUCUUGUGCAUCGCUGCGAGAGGAUUCGUUCAAAGCAACAGCAGGAAGGGGAGCAGCAGUAGCUGGAGGAUAACUGAGUUCUUCAUUGAGUGCCAAAAUGCGCUGCGUUAAAGGAGCCUCGUUGACCAAUUGGCGGCCGCGGCCGCUGCAGCCUGUCCUCGGUCUGACCAGCCAAUGGCAGCGCAGCGGUUGAAAG